CAGUCGCCACGGUAAUACGUAGGGUGCGAGCGUUAAUCGGAAUUACUGGGCGUAAAGCGUGCGCAGGCGGUUUUGUAAGACAGGCGUGAAAUCCCCGGGCUCAACCUGGGAAUGGCGCUUGUGACUGCAAAGCUAGAGUGCGGCAGAGGGGGAUGGAAUUCCGCGUGUAGCAGUGAAAUGCGUAGAUAUGCGGAGGAACACCGAUGGCGAAGGCAAUCCCCUGGGCCUGCACUGACGCUCAUGCACGAAAGCGUGGGGAGCAAACAGGAUUAGAGACCCCUGUAGUCCCUGUCUCUUAUAC
rnacentral:rRNA from 1 species